rnacentral:rRNA from 1 species
AGUAAUGCAUAGGAAUCUGCCCGGUAGUGGGGGAUAACCUGGGGAAACUCAGGCUAAUACCGCAUACGCCCCACGGGGGAAAGCAGGGGAUCUUCGGACCUUGCGCUAUCGGAUGAGCCUAUGUCGGAUUAGCUUGUUGGUGAGGUAAUGGCUCACCAAGGCGACGAUCCGUAGCUGGUCUGAGAGGAUGAUCAGCCACAUCGGGACUGAGACACGGCCCGAACUCCUACGGGAGGCAGCAGUGGGGAAUAUUGGACAAUGGGCGAAAGCCUGAUCCAGCCAUGCCGCGUGUGUGAAGAAGGCUUUCGGGUUGUAAAGCACUUUCAGUGAGGAAGAAGGCCUUGGGGCUAAUACCCCCGAGGAAGGACAUCAC